UAGGGAAUCUUCGGCAAUGGGGGCAACCCUGACCGAGCAACGCCGCGUGAGUGAAGAAGGUUUUCGGAUCGUAAAGCUCUGUUGUAAGUCAAGAACGGGUGUGAGAGUGGAAAGUUCACACUGUGACGGUAGCUUACCAGAAAGGGACGGCUAACUACGUGCCAGCAGCCGCGGUAAUACGUAGGUCCCGAGCGUUGUCCGGAUUUAUUGGGGCGUAAAGC
rnacentral:rRNA from 1 species